GAUGAACGCUGGCGGCGUGCCUAAUACAUGCAAGUCGAGCGAACAGACGAGGAGCUUGCUCCUCUGACGUUAGCGGCGGACGGGUGAGUAACACGUGGAUAACCUACCUAUAAGACUGGGAUAACUUCGGGAAACCGGAGCUAAUACCGGAUAAUAUAUUGAACCGCAUGGUUCAAUAGUGAAAGACGGUUUUGCUGUCACUUAUAGAUGGAUCCGCGCCGCAUUAGCUAGUUGGUAAGGUAACGGCUUACCAAGGCAACGAUGCGUAGCCGACCUGAGAGGGGGAUCGGCCACACUGGAACUGAGACACGGUCCAGACUCCUACGGGAGGCAGCAGUAGGGAAUCUUCCGCAAAGGGCGAAAGCCUGACGGAGCAACGCCGCGUGAGUGAUGAAGGUCCUCGGAUCGUAAAACUCUGUUAUUAGGGAAGAACAAAUGUGUAAGUAACUAUGCACGUCUUGACGGUACCUAAUCAGAAAGCCACGGCUAACUACGUG
rnacentral:rRNA from 1 species